CUAACGACGCGGCGCCCACCGAGAGCUGGGGGAGCCCAGGGCGGGGAGGGCGCGGCCGGAGCGAGCGCCGCCCGGGAAACCCGAGCCCCGCCAGAACCCCUGGCAGCCACAGAGCUCAGGCUUCAACGCUGGCCCGACACCAGGGCCAGGCCAGAAAUCAGCCUGGGAGAAGCUGGGUCCGGCUCCGAGGCUGGUGGGCGCGGCCCCACCCGGCUUUGUUCUUCACGGCGCUGAGGCGGUUAGUUUAGCCUCCCACCCACCAGACAAAGGUGCGGGAAAUGGGACCGGCUUGACUUGUUCAUGCACAUGGUCACCCUGCACGUCAGGGGCCGGCUCACCCCUGAUAUUAGCAACCCCAAGCGUCUUGGCGCAGGGAGGGCUCCCCGUCAGCCAGGUCCCCACGCAGCUCCAGGCAGCGCCGGCGUCCACCAGGGAGCAGGGGCAGCAGAGCCCCUCUCCCCAGACACCCUCGUGUCUUCGGAAAAUGCCAGGUCCCCCCCCCAGCUGCUGUUCUCGUCUUUGGAGGACCCGGCUUUACUGGUGCCACAUGCCUGCUGCGGGCUGUGCCAUGGAGGGCGGCACCUGCCUCUUCUCACGUGGCAGCUCUGGCACCGGGAACUUCAGAGACCCCAGCUGGGCUGAGCCACCCCGGGCUGAGGCCUUGUGGGUCGCCUCAAAUUCAAGCCUCAUGGGCCCAGCCUCCCGCCCUAACAGCCGCUGAAGUGUCCUGCUCUCAUACGAACUUGUGUCUAAAACUGUGGUCUUUGCUUUUCUCCCAAACCCGCCUCCCCGCGCUGCCUACCUCAGGCCUGGGGGCUCCCCCGACUCGCUCUCUAUUCCCCCAGCCGAGCACUGCCUGGGGGCUCCCCCGACUCACUCUCUAGGCCCCCAGCCCCGCACUGCCUGGGGGCUCCCCUGACUCACUCUCUAGGCCCCCAGCCCCGCACUGCCUGGGGGCUCCCCUGACCCUCUCUCUAUUCCCCCAGCCCAGCACUGCCUGGGGGCUCGCCCGACUCGCUCUCUAUUCCCCCAGCCCCACACUGCAUCUCGGGAGCAGUUCCAGGCCGACCUCUGCUCUCCACGGCCGGGAGGUGUCCAGGUGUGGACAGAGCCCCGGCUCUCCAUCAGGGCACCCGGCCGCCCCACGCUCAGCCCUGCGUGGCUUCUCCCGUCCUUCCUGGGCAUCCCCUGAGGGUGUGGCCCUGUUGCUGGGCCCCCUCCUGCCCCCUUGCCCUGCCAGGUCCUAGAGCCUAGACUGAGGGCAGGGCCAUUGCUGUGAAGAAACUGGACAGGCUCCACGGGAGCUCAGAGCUGCCCCGUGUCUGAGGGCGCGGCUGUGUGGAGUGGGGUCCCCUCGGCCAGGCGGGAAAGGCCCCGGAUCGCGUGUGUGACCCUGGUACUGGGCAACCCCUGGGACAGGCAAGUCCGUGGAGACAGAACGGGGCGGUGGCUGCAGCCUGGGAGUUCGGCCUCCCUCGGGGUGACGGAAUGUUCUGGACCUUGAUAUAGGUGGUGGAUACUCAGCCCUGUGAGUGCAAUAAAUGCCACCAAAUUCUCACUUCAAAAUUAUUUUAUGCUGUGUGAAUUCUGCCCCAAUUAAAACACAAACUCUCUUGCAAAA
rnacentral:lncRNA from 1 species